rnacentral:rRNA from 1 species
GUGGGGAAUAUUGCGCAAUGGGGGAAACCCUGACGCAGCGACGCCGCGUGCGGGAUGAAGGCCUUCGGGUUGUAAACCGCUUUUGAUUGGGAGCAAGCUUUCGGGUGAGUGUACCUUUCGAAUAAGCGCCGGCUAACUACGUGCCAGCAGCCGCGGUAAUACGUAGGGCGCAAGCGUUAUCCGGAAUUAUUGGGCGUAAAGAGCUUGUAGGCGGUUCGUCGCGUCUGGUGUGAAAGCCCAUCGCUUAACGGUGGGUCUGCGCCGGGUACGGGCGGGCUAGAGUGCAGUAGGGGAGACUGGAAUUCCCGGUGUAACGGUGGAAUGUGUAGAUAUCGGGAAGAACACCAAUGGCGAAGGCAGGUCUCUGGGCUGUUACUGACGCUGAGAAGCGAAAGCGUGGGGAGCGA